rnacentral:misc_RNA from 1 species
AACUUACAUAUUAUUCAUUAGAAGGAAAUAAACAAUGGGUUGACUGUAGUUACUAGCUACUGUAGGCUUGUGAUACUUCCGAGUUGUUUGAUUAACUGAAUUGCAAGUAUGACAGUACUAUGUGAAUGCAUUUUCCAAUUGGGUUUUGGUAUUUCUUUUUCACUUUCUGUUUCAAAUUACUGCUGAAAAAGCUGGCUAAAGACUGUAUCAGUUCGAAGAAUCAGAGCUAGCAGUGGCCUUUUAAGAGUACUUGGUGCUAUUCAGGAUAAGUAUCAUAAAGAGAGUGUUAAAGAAAGG